CAGUCGCGCGGUAAUACGUAGGGUGCAAGCGUUAAUCGGAAUUACUGGGCGUAAAGCGUGCGCAGGCGGUUUUGUAAGACAGAGGUGAAAUCCCCGGGCUCAACCUGGGAACUGCCUUUGUGACUGCAAGGCUAGAGUACGGCAGAGGGGGAUGGAAUUCCGCGUGUAGCAGUGAAAUGCGUAGAUAUGCGGAGGAACACCGAUGGCGAAGGCAAUCCCCUGGGCCUGUACUGACGCUCAUGCACGAAAGCGUGGGGAGCAAACAGGAUUAGAUACCCCUGUAGUCCCUGUCUCUUAUACA
rnacentral:rRNA from 1 species